UUUCAUAAAAAUUGGCGGCCGCUGUAAUGUAGUGGUGAGCAGUGCGCGCUUCCACUCCGCAUAGCCCGGGUUCAAGGCCUGGUCAAAGCAACAUCGCAAAAAAAGAAAUAGAAAAAAGGGUUCUUCUUGACAGCGGUCGGCCCUCGGCAAGUAAUGGCAAACCUUCGAGUGCAUUUUUGCCAUGAAAAACAGCUUCUCAUAAAAAGACGC